rnacentral:rRNA from 1 species
UACGGAAGGCAGCAGUGGGGAAUAUUGCACAAUGGGCGAAAGCCUGAUGCAGCUAUGCCGCGUGUAUGAAGAAGGCCUUAGGGUUGUAAAGUACUUUCAUCGGGGAGGAAAAACAAAACUAAUAAUUUUAUUUCUUGACGUUACCCGAAAAAGAAGCACCGGCUAACUCCGUGCCAGCAGCCGCGGUAAUACGGAGGGUGCUAGCGUUAAUCAGAAUUACUGGGCGUAAAGAGCACGUAGGUGGUUUUUUUAAGUCAGAUGUGAAAUCCCUGGGCUUAACCUGGAACUGCAUUUUGAAACUGAAAUACUAGAGUAUCGUAGAGGGAGGUAGAAUUCUAGGUGUAGCGGUGAAAUGCGUAGAUAUCUGGAGGAAUACCUGUGGCGAAAGCGGCCUCCUAAACGAAUACUGACACUGAGGUGCGAAAGCGUGGGGAGCGAAACAGGGAUUAGGAUACC